CAAGAUCACAGCACUACUGGAACAGCUGCACUCAGGGCUGCUUUCUCCAACACUCCUGCAUUCUCUCACUCUAACAUACACACACAGGCACGUCCAGAACUCUACCACGCAAGCGCUCCUCACACACUCAGGCAGGCACACCCCCUCUCAUUAUAUGUGCAGUGAGAAGCUCUGCUCUGCUUGUGUGGGUGUGAGCAGUGGGCUGUGUUUCUCUCUGGCAGCAACAGCAGCACUCUAGCAGCAGGACUGGUCCAGUGGAGGGCAAUCACCUCACUCUCUCCAGACUCCAGGACAGCUCACCCCCAGGACUCGGGAAGCCCUCAACAAGCCUUUCUCUCUCUGUUUCUUGUUCUAUCUAUCUCUCCAUUCUCACUCUCUCUCUGCCUCGCCGUGACGCAGUGUUUCUGACCUUCAUUUCCCUAGUGCACUCAGUGUGGACCAGUGGGACAGCCAUGGAGGAUACCCUCACCUGCAGCCCCGCCACCUUCUCCCAGGUGUUCGGACGUCAGGGACAGCUCAUGCAGGCCACGGUCCAGUCUCUGAACAGUCUGAAUGACCAGAUAGCCCACUUCAUGAUGACCAGGCCCGGCACACUGUCCCGGGAGAACGAGGCCUUCAUGCCUGAAGAGAGAGACACCUUGAAGGAGUCCAUGGCCCUGAUGAGGCACCUACUCUUGGACGCACAGGGGAAAAUCCUUAAAAUGAUGGAAGACAACAAGCAGCUGGCUCAGAGGAUCGAUGGGGCCAUCCAGUCUGCCAGUCAGGAGGUAACCAACCUGCGCUCAGAGCUGUCGGCCACCAGCCGUAGACUGGCAGAGCUGGGGGCCAGCAGCCCCCCCUCGCCCCUGGUGAACAACCAUCAGCACCACCAGCACAACCACCACGACCAUGACAGCCUCCACUACCGGGAUCCUGCCGGUAAUUACAGGCAGAAGUCGGUGUUGAGCGAUAUCUGUUACCAGACAGAGAUCUCCAGCCUCAUGGACUUUGGGACUCCAGACUCCUCGCUCGAUAAAGUGUUGCUGCGUGAGGAGGUGGCCCAGCUGCAGGAAGAGGUGCACCUGUUGCGGCAGAUGAAGGACAUGUUGAGUAAGGACCUGGAGGAGACCCAGGGCCAGGGAGGCUGCUCCUCCAACCUCCUCUCUGACACUGAGCUCCGCGUGCAGAUGGGAGACAAGGAGCAGGAGCUGGACCGUGUCAAGGAGGCCUUACAAGCUAUGAAGUCUGACCGUAAGCGUCUGAAGGUGGACAAGGCAGACCUGGUGAACCAGAUGCAGCAGCUGUACACCACACUGGAGAGCCGGGAGGACCAGCUCCGAGACUUCAUACGCAACUACGACCAGCACAGAAAGGAGAGUGAGGAUGCAGUGAAGGCCCUGGCUAAGGAGAAGGACAUGCUGGAGAGGGAGAAAUGGGAUCUGAGGAGGCAGACCAAAGAGGCCACAGAGCAGGCCUGCAUCCUGCGCUCUCACAUGGACAUUAAGGAGAACCGCAUCAAAGAGCUGGAGGCUGAACUCACCAUGGCAAAACAGUCCCUGGCCACGCUGACUAAGGACGUGCCGAAACGCCAGUCCCUGGCCACGCCCUCAGAGCCGGUGGUGAACGGCAGUCAGGAGUGGGCGAUGCAGGGAGACCUGCCCCUCACCGCUGCCAUCCGCCAGAGCCAACAGACCCUCUACCACGGACACACUGUGGACCGCCAGGCGGUGGUCAGGGUCAGUCCCUGUCACUCCCGCCAGCCCUCUACCAUCUCGGACGCGUCGGCGGCUGACGGGGAUCGGUCGUCCACCCCCAGUGACAUCAACUCCCCCCGCCACCGGACACACUCCCUCUGCAAUGUAAGAGCUUCCUGGCCUCCCCAACCAAUCUAUGGAGGACCUGGAGGACCAGAAGCGUAAGACUAAGAAGAAGGAGAAGAUGUGUCUGGGCUCCCUCUCCCGGGUGUUUGCUCGGGGAAAGCAGCGCAAGUCAAUGGACCCGGGCCUGUUUGAUGACACUGACAGCCUCUCCAGCCUAUCAACACAACAGCACAGCCUAUCAGAUGGAGAGGAGCAGCUGGACCGCCUCCAGCAGGCAGAGCUCACUCGGAACAUGCCCAUGUCACUGUGGAAGGCAGGGCCAGUACAAGCCUG